UACGUAGGGGGCUAGCGUUGUCCGGAAUCAUUGGGCGUAAAGAGCGUGUAGGCGGCCCGGUAAGUCCGCUGUGAAAGUCGGGGGCUCAACCCUCGAAUGCCGGUGGAUACUGUCGGGCUAGAGUGCGGAAGAGGCGAGUGGAAUUCCUGGUGUAGCGGUGAAAUGCGCAGAUAUCGGGAGGAACACCUAUGGCGAAGGCAGCUCGCUGGGACGUUACUGACGCUGAGGUGCGAAAGCGUGGGGAGCAAACAGG
rnacentral:rRNA from 1 species